rnacentral:rRNA from 1 species
GAUGAACGCUGGCGGCGUGCUUAACACAUGCAAGUCGAACGAUGAAGCCCAGCUUGCUGGGUGGAUUAGUGGCGAACGGGUGAGUAACACGUGAGUAACCUGCCCUUAACUCUGGGUUAAGCCUGGGCAACUGGGUCUAAUACCGGAUAGGAGCGCCUACCGCCUGGUGGGUGUUGGAAAGAUUUAGCGGUUUUGGAUGGACUCGAGGCUUAUCAGCUUGUUAGUGAAGUAAUGGCUCACCAACGCGACGCCGGGUAGACGGCCUGAGACGGUGACCGGCCACAAGGGGACUAAGAGACGGCCCAGACGGCAACGGGAGGCAACAGUGGGGAAUAUUGCACAAUGAGCGAAAGCCAGAUGCAGCGACGCCGCGUGAGGGAUGACGGCCUUCGGGGUGUAAACAUCUUUCAGUAGGGAAGAAGCGAAAGUGACGGUACCUGCAGAAGAAGCACCGGCUAACUACGUG